rnacentral:rRNA from 1 species
CGGGGUGCAGCAGGCGCGAAAACUUUACAAUGCUGGCAACAGCGAUAAGGGGACCUCGAGUGCCAGGAUACAAUCUUGGCUGUCGCGAUGCCUAAAAAGCAUUGCAUAGCAAGGGCCGGGCAAGACCGGUGCCAGCCGCCGCGGUAACACCGGCGGCUCGAGUGGUAACCGCUAUUAUUGGGUCUAAAGGGUCUGUAGCCGGCCGGAUAAGUCUUUUGGGAAAUCCAGCUGCUCAACAGUUGGGCUUUCAGAAGAUACUGUUCGGCUCGAGACCGGGAGAGGUGAGAGGUACUUCAGGGGUAGGGGUGAAAUCUUGUAAUCCUUGAAGGACCACCAGUGGCGAAGGCGUCUCACCAGAACGGAUCUGACGGCAAGGGACGAAAGCUAGGGGCACGAACCGGAUUAGAUACCCGGGUAGUCCUAGCCGUAAACGAUACUCGCUAGGUGUCAGCCACGGUGCGACCGUGGUUGGUGCCGUAGGGAAGCCGUGAAGCGAGCCACCUGGGAAGUACGGCCGCAAGGCUGAAACUUAAAGGAAUUGGCGGGGGAGCACAAGGGCAAUUCGCG